UGUGCUGGAUCCUAAGACANUGCC
rnacentral:piRNA from 1 species